rnacentral:sRNA from 1 species
UACACCUACUCUUAUCACUUAAAUGUAUAUGCAAAACAGCGAGAAAUUUGUAGAUACGUUGAAUGUUGUUGCUUUCACAUUUGCAACUCUUAGUAGUUGUUCAAAACAACAAUGUCGAGCAAAGAUGUUUGCGAUGUUUGAAUGAUUCUUGGAUUGUAUUUGGAUUCCAUCGGUACUAUGGCCUGUUGAUUCGGCACCUUUGUCAUUUUAGCAACUUUUGUUUUCUUUUCUGUGUCGAUGUAGUUCUCUAUACCAUAUUCAUGUUCAUAUUCAUGUUCAUAUUCAUGUUCAUAUCAAUGUCCAUAUCAAUGUCCAUAUCAAUUUCCCAUGUUCCAUUACAUAUCCCGUGUUCUUUCCUUCUUCCAGCUUUUACAUGCUAGCCUUUUAUACAAUGAUUCCUCUCAUCUCGACUCGCUUGGAGGAAUGGGGCGUUUAGUUUUUGCAACAACAUAUGCGUUGGGNUAUCUCAUAUCGGGAACACUUUCUGCCACUUUUAACUUGAACAAAGGUGGAGAAAUAAAGUGAUGGCAGAUAUUGCAAGUUGGUUAUAGNGNGCCUGUAGAAA